UAGGUUGCAGACAUGGCUCGGAUCCUGCGUUGCUGUGGCUGUGGUGUAGGCCAGCAGCUACAGCUCUGAUUUGACCCCUAGCCUGGGAACUUUCAUAUGCCGCCAGUGCGGCCCUAAAAACAAACAAACAAGCAAAACACACACAAAAAAUACUCGUUGCACCUGGAAUGGAGAGUUCUUAUGAUUCUGUAUGGUGACUGUCUUAGACUCUUGUGUCAUCUAUAUCAUCAUUGGGAACAGGCGUUAAGCAAAAUAAAUAAGUAGAAGAUAUAACUCGUUAGAUGAGGUAAGUGUUAUAGAGAAAAAUAAACUAAGAAAGGAGUCUAGGAGUUCCCAUGGUGUCGCAGCCAAAACGAAUCCGACUGGGAACCAUGAGGUUGCAGGUUCCAUCCCUGGCCUCACUUACUGGGUUAAGAAUCCAGCAUUGCCAUGAGCUGUGGUGUAGGUUGCAGACAUGGCUCAGAUAUGGCAUUCCUGUGGCUCUGGCAUAGGCUGGUGGCUACAGCUCUGAUUAGACCCCUAGCCUGGGAAACUCCAUAUGCCGCUGGCAUAGCCCUAAAAGGACAAAAGACAAAAAAAAGAAGAAGAAGAAGAAAAAAAAAAGAGUUUAGAAGAUGCUGAGAUGAAGGCCUAAAGAUGAGAGCGUAAGACAGGUGACAAUCAGAGAACAGAGCAAUUCAGAAAGAGUCUGGGAGUGUGCCUAGAAUAUUCCAAGCAGAGUUAACAGCGUGAGAAAUCAGAGAACCUUGCAGGCCACUGCAAAAAUGUUGGCUUCUACUCUGAGUGAGAAGGGGAGUUGGAAGGGGUUUGAGCAGAAGAGUGACCUGAUCUAAACUACAGUUUUAUAGGAUUGCUCUGAUUGCUGUGUUGAGAAUAGACUGGAUGGGCUGGGAAGGGAGCACGUGGGUGGAGGCAGAGCAGUCGGGAGGCUGUUGACAUGAUCAAGGUAAGUACUGCUGAUGGUUUAGAGUACAGUGACAGUGGUCAAAGUGGGGAGAAGUGAUUAGGUUCUGGUUCCAUUUUUUUUUUUAAAGGGCCACACCCACAGCAUAUGGAAGUUCCUAAGCUAGAAGUCCAAUCAGAGCUGUUGCUGCCAGCCACAGCCACAGCCACAGCAACAUGGAAUAUGAGCGGCAUCUGGGACCUACACCACAGCUCACAGCAACGCCAGAUCCUUAACCCACUGAGAGAGGCCAGGGAUCAAAUCCACAACCUCACGGUUACUAGGCAGGUUCGUUAACCACUGAGCCACAAUGGGAACUCCCUGGGUUCCAUUUAGAAGGUCAAGUCCACAGGAUUUGCCAUUUGCCAACAGCUUUCUUGUGGGAUGCGAGAGGAAGAGCAGAACCAAGGAUGAAGUUGCCAGUAACAUACCAAAGGAAGACUGUGGAGGAGUAGGUUUGGGGAUGGGUCAGCACUGGAGGUGUAAAUUGGAAAUGGUCAGUAUUUCAAUGGUAAGUAUAGUCACUAGAUGAGAUGAAACGAGUGAGUAUAGAUGUAAGAGAGACGAGGCCCAUUGCUCCAGUUCUGAAGCAUGACAGCCCUCAGCACCGGAGAACAAGAAGGAACGGGAGGAAGGUAGGAGGCAAACCUGGAGCCUGUGGGUCCUCCUUACUCUUGCUGUGCUCUCUCUACCUCUCCUUCUACCUCUUUCCUCUCCACCUCUCUCAGCCUCACUCUUAGGUAAACAAAGACAUUUUCUGUCAAAGUGCAUGAGCCAAAACAGAUAUUUACCAGGUAAACACUAUGCUUUUAAUUGGGCGAUUCUUUUUAAAAGGCACACAGAUGGCUCUUUGGUACCAUGGUUGCAGUGUGUGGAUCAGCCAGAACAUCAAGGUACCCAGCUCUGUGGGUUCCACCUGCUAAGUGGCACUGAAGAUAUUCCCAUUAGUGUUGCUGCUGUUAUUGUCCACAGAGGCUUCAGCCCUCCCCGCACCCCUCCCUCCUUCCUUCUCCCACUCCACCCCCUGAUCCAGAGGCCAAUGAAUGCUCACAUCAUUUCACUUUGGUCCAGCUGCCAGGCUGGGGAACAGAUGUUGUAUUGUUCACACCAAGAAGAAAACAAACCGCCCCACUCCUCUGUGUCCUCCCGCCUCUGCCUCCAUCCCCAUUUCAGCCCCCUCAUGAAAAUGGGCAAACAAUGUUGGGGAGAGGAGAGGAUGGGGCAGCUCCAGUGAGUAAUGCCAUCCUCUCCAGCCAAGACUGAGCCCUGGCCAGAGGCGCACAGAGCGUUCUCCCGGGCCCUGUUUACAGCAGACACGGGUUCUGUCAGCUGAGAGGCUGGCUCGUGGCUGAUGACGUGAAGAUGCUCGCACUGAGCAGAGCAUUGAGCGAAAGAAGACAAAGGCCCUCUUCUGCAUGUGGCCCCAGCAAUGCAUCUACCUGCAUGUGAUGAGCAAGAGCCAUGACCAAAAGACAAUCCCAAGGACAGAGGAAAUGACUUCUUGGCUGAGGUCUGGCUCAAUGUUUGAGCACUUCUCUGUUAAAAACUUUUAAGAGAUGGAGGGGCAGGGUGUUCAUUUCUUUCCUGGGGAGGUUUUGAUUAUUUUGACUCUCUCUUUUUUUUUUUUCACUUCUCAUGCAGAACUCUUCCUCAGAUUGGGGCACAUGGGGACAAAGAGGGCCGUGUAGGGGUGGAGUAAGCAUGGACAAUCCAGAGCAAAGACUAGAAAUGAAGUAGCACGUGGAUUUGAGGAGGGCUAGUGAGGAGAAGCUGGGAGUUCAGGGCCAUGACAGCUAGGCUAAGUAAUUGGAACUUCUCUUGAAGGUACUAAGUGACAGUGAAAAGAUUUUAGGCUGGAGACUGACAUACAGGAAGCAGACAUUUCCUCUGUGAAGAAGAUAGGUCCUCUGUGAAGGGCAGAUGGGACAAAGGACUUAGUUAAGAGGCUGCAGUCCAGGUAGCAGACAGCAAAAGCCCUAAGAUUCCAUUAAAGUUCCAUUUUAUUCUACAAUGGCUACUUUGAUACUUCUUUAACGUACUAAACUCUUUCCAAAUAAUUCUUUGGCACCAUGUUUGUUUGUUUUCUUUUGUUUCUUGGUGUUUCAGGAUGUGCUUUUUCAUGCUUACUGGAUAAGCCAACAUUGGGAGUGGGAGAGAGUUGCAGAAUCCCUUUGUGGGCCACUAGGUGAAUGGCAGGCCUCUUAGAGAGAACAGAGAUGCAGGAAGAGAAGCCAGGGCAGAGUGCGGAUGAUGAGCUCAGCCUUGGACAUGUGAGUUUGAAGUAUCAAUGGAGAUAGACACUGCCAGAAGGCAGCUGAUUUGAUGAGUCUGGAGCGGAGAUGGUAGAACUGGGCAUCAUCAGCUUUCAUGGGGUGGAGGUUGGGGGGAAGUCAUGGGAGAGGAUAAGGUCAUUCAGGGUGAAUGCAUGGAGGGAGAGGAGAGAGGGUCUGGAAUAAAACAUGCAGAAAACUAGCAUUUCAGGAAUCAAUCAGGAAAAGGAGCCUGAUAAGAUGUAGCCAGGAAGAUAAUUCAGGAGGCAGUAGAGUACCCAAAGACUAAGAAACAGAGGCAUUUUGAGAAAUAUAAUCAACAGCUUCAAAUGCUAUAUCCCAGUUCAAGUCAGAUAAGAGGAUGAGAAGGGAUGAUUUACAUCAUCUCUCAAAACAUCAAAGAGGUCACGGUUGGCUUUAGUAUUCAGAAAGAUUCUUGAGGAGUAUGUAUGUGGGAAGAUGCAUGAGAAGCAAAGGAGAUGGAUAAAAAAAAAAGACUUAGUGAGCUUACACUAUUAGUGGUAGCUAUAGAGAAAUGGAAGGUGGAUGUUGAGAGGGGGUUUUAUAUAAAGAUGGCAGAGAACACAUUAACACAUCUUAUUUACGCCUACCAGACAAAUACAUCAAGACCCACUAGAUUCGAGGGCAUAGUGGGGAGCUUUAAUACAUAAGUGAAUUUUAGGGGAAGAUUUCUCUUUGUACCACCUAUAGGCUGGGGAGAGUCAUCUGAAGCGAUAAUUUUUCUUGGCUUGGAUGUGGUGUUCAGCAGAGUUGGCCAAUCAUCUAUCAGACACCUAUUAUGCAUAUCGGUUAAUGCAGGAGCUGCUGUGGUGGAUUCAGAAACAAUAAGUUCAAGGAGCUCGUCACCUCCCAGAGGAAUAAAAUUUAUGUCAGAGGGCUAUAAACCUACAGCAUGAAAUACCCAUUAUGUUUGUUCUACACAGUGUGUUUGUAAAAUUGAAACAUCAUUUUAAAAGACUACAUAUAAAGCUGGAUAUCUGGCUUCUUUUGAAAAACUAGAAGAUAUAUGACUUUUAACCUGCAUUACUGCCAGACAACAUUUGGCUGGAAUGAAGAUGUGACUACCCAUUACUGAGAGUGUCCAUUCCCUAGAUCACUUCAGCCCCCAGAACUCUCUAUCAGCUGACUCAUCAAGAAGGCCCAUCUAAGUUAUGAAUUACUAGAUGCUAGAAUGCAUGGUGUCAAUGGCUAUGCUGUAGAUACUCAGGGAAAGGAGAAAUCAAUAGAAUUAAAUAGUUAAGCAAAGCUUCUGAGACUUGGUCUUGGCAAGUAAGUAGGAUAAGGAUAGGUGGUUGGAUGGGUAAAGAAAUGGACAGAUGAAAAAGAAGGCAUUUCCCUUGGGUUUUGGGUGGACUUGAUGCAUUUGCAUGGCAUGUCAGACUGGAAUUGAGGGAUCACAAGCUUGGCCCUUUUCCUUUAAAAUCUGAAAACAUGUUUUCAGAGCAGGGAAAAGAAAUUUCAACUUAUUUGAAGACAGGGGUAUCUGUUAUUUCUCCAUUUCCACAUGACUCUCUUGUUGUAGAUAGUUUCCUAGUCAACAGUAGUGAUCCUAUCGUGAUAUUGCAAGAAGUUGCUCCCUUGACAGUCAAACAGAAGGAUAAUACAACAUUAGGAGAUACACACACACAUAUAUCCCACUCUUGCUUGACACAAUUGCAGUAAUUCCAAUCCCCUAGGUCGUCAUAAUAUCCAAGUAAUCUUUCAUCUUUUCCAGCUGGUUGUUUGUUCCCACCCCCAAAGAGGGUGCUGUUCAGGCUCCAGGAGCUACAGUUCCAACCUUGCAUCCAGAUCCAAAUUUUAAAUAGAUAAUUAUUCCUUUGAUGAUUCCUAAAGUUCAAGAAUGAAACAAAGAAAAAUCACCCUAAAUGAAAUGGAAAAUCAUUGAACUUUUACUGUACUAAUUCAUUCACUCCUGUUUCAAAGACAUGGUUUUUGCAUUUUCUGUCUUCUGAAUAUGACCAGCUAUGUGUGAAAAAGCCCACUUGCCACCUGAUGACUAUAAAAUACGGCCUACCAGUUAAAAAACCUCACUCUUAAAUAAGAGAAGACAACCCGGAAACUUCAGAUACUUAAGGAAACCCUUCAGCAUGCAAGAUGGAGAUAAGAACAAACAAGAUGGAUGGAAGAAGCAGGGGCAAUUCAGAAAGCAGAAAACUACCAUAACUAUAUUAGCAUCAUUAGUAUCUUCAGAGAGAUAAAAGAAAGAUUAUGUCCAUGAAACAAGAAUAAGAU
rnacentral:lncRNA from 1 species